AAUAAAAUAACGAGGAAAGCAGAAUUAUCAGUAUCGAAAAAAAAAGUUAUUUUUUUAAGUUAUGAAAGAGUUUCUUCUCCUCGAACAUUAAAGCAAUAGUUCGAUAGCAUCUUUUCUUAAAUUCGUUAGAAAAAAAACAGAAAAAAUUCGAACCUAUUUCUAUUACCGUAGAGAAUUCAACUCAAAUCCUCAAAUUUCGAUGUUAUUUUCUAUACUUGUCAGCGCAGUUACGCUUUGGGAACAUCAAAACUGAGGAAUACGAUUUUGAUCCCACGUUCAUUGUGGUUUGGUCGACAACUUGAUCUGUGAGAAUCUUUCUGACUAAAUCUCUUUCAAACAAAGUAGAACCGAACUUCAGAAUCGACGGUUGUCAUUCUUUUGCUCUUUCUCUACUCUUAUUGAUCGAAAUUGUGAUAAAUAGACGUUCAUCAUAACGAAUCCGACUCUAUUUAAUCUUAUACUAAAGGAUGUAAAAAACAACGAGAACAUAAAUGAAGAAGAAACCUUUAAAAAUAAUAUAUAUAUAUAUAUAAAAUCCAAACAAACAUUAUUGAAUAUCGAAAAAAGUUAGAGAUAUUCAGAAUAACUCCUUAAAAUUCAUGAAAAACUAAAGAAAAUUUUCGGUUAGAACUAUUUUCGUGAUGUAAACAUGCGAUUUUGAAGAGUAAAGCGUAUAAAGAAGUAGUUAUGCAAAAUCUUAUCGCGUGUUUAUGUAAAGAGGAAUCAUUUUUAAAACAUGGAUUGUGAGAAA